rnacentral:rRNA from 1 species
AGAAUCAACGCUGGCGGCGUGCCUAACACAUGCAAGUCGCACGAGAAAGGGUAGCAAUACCUGAGUACAGUGGCGCACGGGUGAGUAACACGUGAAUUAUCUACCUCCGAGUGGGGAAUAACUGAGAGAAAUCUUAGCUAAUACCGCAUAACACUUACGAGUCAAAGCAGCAAUGCGCUUGGAGAGGAGUUCGCGGCAGAUUAGUUAGUUGGCGGGGUAAUGGCCACCAAGACGAUGAUCUGUAUCCGGCCUGAGAGGGCGCACGGACACACUGGAACUGAAACACGGUCCAGACUCCUACGGGAGGCAGCAGUGGGGAAUUUUGCGCAAUGGGGGAAACCCUGACGCAGCAACGCCGCGUGGAGGAUGAAAUAUCUUGGUAUGUAAACUCCUUUCGAUGGGGAAGAUUAUGACGGUACCCAUAGAAGAAGCCCGGCUAACUUCGUGCCAGCAGCCGCGGUAA